rnacentral:rRNA from 1 species
UAGGGAAUAUUGCACAAUGGUCGAAAGCCUGAUGCAGCGACGCCGCGUGAGUGAAGAAGUAUUUCGGUAUGUAAAGCUCUAUUAGCAGGGAAGAAAAUGACGGUACCUGACUAAGAAGCCCCUGCUAACUACGUGCCAGCAGCGCGGCAAUACGUAGGGGGCAAGCGUUAUCCGGAUUUACUGGGUGUAAAGGGAGCGUAGACGGAGAAGCAAGUCUGAAGUGAAAACCCAGGGCUCAACCCUGGGACUGCUUUGGAAACUGUUUUGCUAUGGGGUCGGAGAGGUAAGUGGAAUUCCUAGUGUAGCGGUGAAAUUCGUAGAUAUUAGGAAGAACACCGGUGGCGAAGGCGGCUUACUGUACGAUAACUGACGUUGAGGCUCGAAAGCGUGGGGAGCAAACAGG